AAGUCCCCGCCCUUUGUACACACCGCCCGUCGCUACUACCGAUUGAAUGGCUUUGUGAGGCCUCCGGAUCUGGCUAGCCUCGAGGGCAACCUCGUCGCGGGCCGGAGAAGCUGGUCAAACUUGGUCAUUUUGAGGAAGUAAAAGUCGUAACAAGGUUUCCGUAGGUGAACCUGCGGAAGGAUCAUUUAAAAACUUUCCAAAACACUGUUUUAGAUUUUUAAAACCCACCAGUUUAGUUCAAUUUAACAAAAUAUAAAACUUUCAACAACGGAUCUCUUGGUUCUCCAUCGAUGAAGAACGCAGCGAAAUGCGAUACGUAGUAUGACUUGCAGACGUGAAUCAUCGAAUCUUUGAACGCACAUUGCGCCUUGGGGCAUUCUCCAAGGCAUGCCUGUUUGAGCGUGAUUUCUUCUCACCGCCCAGGUGGUUUUGCAUCCGCUAAAUAACAUAUCCGCAGCGAAGUCUACGCUUUCACUGCACCAUGCUAUUUCCUCAAAUCAGGUAGGACUACCCGCUGAACUUUAGCAUAUCAAUAAGCGGAGGAAAAGAAACCAACAGGGAUUGCCUCAGUAACGGCGAGUGAAGCGGCAAGAGCUCACCUUUGGAAUCGCUCCGGCGAGUUGUAGUCUGGAGGCGGCCGGUCCGCCUUGCGCAACCAAAU
rnacentral:rRNA from 1 species